UCGCUACCCAGAAGAACCCGGAAGUGAGCGAGUUUGCGCGCCCAUCCAGCGACACUAAGGACCCCACGCCACUUCGAACAUGAUCUCGCUGGCCUAAGGGGACACUGGAAACUGGAAAGAGACCGGAAUCGUGGGCAGUUCUCAGGUUUGCCCGGCGAGCAUCCCUCGGUAUUUGAAAGCCGCCAUCCCAUCUCCAUGGCAACACAAGGACGGCCGGAAAAGACCCGGAUGCUGCCUGGUUGAGCGCUUCCGGCGCUGUGGGCUGGGGCCGGAAAUGAGAAUCUUUGAGUACACCUAAGUGGCCUUGGGCACUCUAAAGCCAGUGCAUCCUUUCUAGAAAGAGGUGGGAGAGAUGGCGAGACUCACACAGCCCCACUGCAGGCCCUGCUUGGCGUUUACACGCCCCCUCGUCUCCAUGACAGCAAUAGGACGCCGGCGAUGCAGGGCGCUGAUUGGCUGAGAUUAGGAGGCAUGGACCGGAAGUGGCCGGAGAUUGGCGUGGCUAGAGCCAGUCCCCUCCCCAUCUGCGCGCCGAUGCCUCUGAGCCUCCUCAGGAAACUUCUCGGUCUGGAGCCCGUUGGUCACUGCAGGCUCAGCGGACCGAGGACGGAAUGCCAAUAGUCAACUGGACCUGCUGUGACGAUCCUUGGCCUGCAACUCAGCAGUUGGAGAUGGCAUUUGUCUGACUUAGAAGGCCGUUGUGUUUGUGAGAGCAUGUGAGUAAAUGCCAGAUGUGAGCCUUGGGUGUUGUCCUCUAGAGCUGUUCCUUGGUUUUAUUUUUGACACAAGGUCUCUCACUGGCACCUGGGAAUGGCUGGUUAAGGCAGGCUGACUGACCUCCAAGUCCCAGGGAUCCACUGGUCCCCACCAUCCCAGCCCUAGAGUAAUGAGCAUGCACCAUCACACUUAGGUUUUAGGUGGUUGCUAGGGCUUGAACUCAGGUCCUCAAGCCCCUGUGGUGAGCACCUUACCAGCUGAGCCACCUAAUCUAAGGAACACUAUAUUGCACAUCAGACUUGGCAAGCAUCUCUGUUUCUGUUUUUGUGUCUGAGGAUAAAUUCCUUCAUGGUAGGUGACAUCGACAUUUUACCUCAUUUCUGUGUUACAGAGUAGGAUAAAAAGUGUCCCCAUAGACUCAUGGUGAAGGCUUUCUCUGCAGCUGGUGAUCCUCCUCGAUUUAACCACGUGUACCAGGACAGUUGUUCUAGCUUUGAGAAGUAGUUAUGAAAGUGGGGACUGGCUGAGGUAAGUGGGUCUUUGGAGGCAGGCCUGUGAGGUAUCUUGUCUUGUGUACUUUCUCAGCUUUCUGGCUCCCGUGAAAUGAACAGCCCUGUCCCACCAGACCCUCCUGCCACGUUCUACCGAUCCACCUGGCUGGGAGCCAGAAACAGUGGGUCCACAGACUGAAACUGUGCAUCAUGAUCAAUCAGUCUCUCUCUCUCUCUCUCUCUCUCUCUCUCUCUCUCUCUCUCUCUCUCUCUCUCUCUCGAUUGAUUUUGUGUAUGAGUGUUCUGCCUGCAUGUACACCUGCAUGCCAGAAGAGGGCAUCACAUCCUUUUAUAGAUGGUUGUGAUUGCUGAGAAUUGAACUCAGGACCUAUGGAAAACCAGCCAGUGCUCUCAACUGCUGAGCCAUCUCUCCAUCCCUGAAUUUCUCCCUUUAAAUUAUUUCUCUCGUCGGG
rnacentral:lncRNA from 1 species